rnacentral:lncRNA from 1 species
UCCAAUCCAAACAUUUGAAAUCCAAAGGUGUAUAAGUAACGAAACCGUUGAAGAGCUAUAUGUCAAACAUACCUAAAAUAAAUAGCCAAAUUCAUCUAAAGCCAACUUUGCCUGAGCGAGUUGAAACCUUAGUUUCUUAAUAGUUACAAAAUUUAUAAACGGACAAUUUUAGUAAAAUUUGUUAAAUCAUGUCAGUACUGACUACUGAGCUGAUCAUACCCUCGGGGACUGAUAGUCCAACAGCAGAGGUAUCGACCCAGUGGUGUAAAAAUUUGAAAACAACACGUCCGAAACACUUUUCAGGAUUUACAUUCAUCAGGAACGCUCAAAGCCAAACAUUAAACUUCGAAUACCAUUUAGCUAAUGAUUUUUUAAAAACAUAUGUUUAAACUGAGUUAAUUUAAAAAAUAUAUAUGCCUGUGCGAUACGUGAAACGUGAAAUAAUAGAAAAACAUUGUUUGAGAAUUAGUUAUGUCAAUUAUCUAGACUGGUUAUAACUAUUUAAAAAUAUAACCAUGUGCAAGACAGGAUAACAAUGAACUUUUUAACCAACAAAACACAGGACUUGGAAAAAUAGUUAAGCACAACAAAAAUAGUUCAUCUCUUAAUUAACAAGCCGUUCUAUCAACAUGUAUACCAUUAAUAUUCCAUCGCAAAAAAAUUCCCCUUCCUACUGAAAAUCAGAUGGUCAACUAAUGUGGUCGAGAGCCGUGGUGUAGUGGUUAGUGCAUCGGACUACUAAUAUAAAGGUUUCUUGUUCGAUCCUCGUUCCGGACAGAAAAUUUCAGGGACUGAAUUUUCGGCUCUCCCAUGGCACCAAUUGCGAGUAUGGUCUUGAAGAAACGAUGAUAGUCUGCCGGAAGGUGACGAUAAAUGGCGGACCCAUGUAAAGAGAUAGCCAUAUGUCUUGCACAUAUAAGACACCCUUGUUGAUUUCGAAAAAGAGCAGGUUAAUGCCGCUACAAAAAGGCACUUGCACUUAGAAAGAGGAAAAGGAUUAAUAUAAGUUGCAAUAACUUGUUUUCCCAAUCCACUAUAAAUAAACAUGUUCAAACUAACUAAUGUUUAAUUAUGGUUUUAAAUGAGCAAUGUUUGAGGUUUUGUCAUAUAUAAAAAGGUC